rnacentral:rRNA from 1 species
CACUCUGGAGACAGAGCUUUCCCUUCGGGGACAAAGUGACAGGUGGUGCAUGGUUGUCGUCAGCUCGUGUCGUGAGAUGUUGGGUUAAGUCCCGCAACGAGCGCAACCCUUGAUUUUAGUUGCCAGCAUUUAGUUGGGCACUCUAAAGUGACUGCCGGUGCAAGCCGGAGGAAGGUGGGGAUGACGUCAAAUCAUCAUGCCCCUUAUGACCUGGGCUACACACGUGCUACAAUGGAUAGUACAAAGGGUCGCGAAGCCGCGAGGUGGAGCUAAUCCCAUAAAACUAUUCUCAGUUCGGAUUGUAGGCUGCAACUCGCCUACAUGAAGCCGGAAUCGCUAGUAAUCGUGGAUCAGCAUGCCACGGUGAAUACGUUCCCGGGCCUUGUACACACCGCCCGUCACACCACGAGAGUUUGUAACACCCGAAGUCGGUAGGGUAACCUUUAUGGAGCCAGCCGCCGAAGGUGGGACAGAUAAUUGGGGUGAAGUCGUAACAAGGUAGCCGUAUCGGAAGGUGCGGCUGGAUCACCUCCUUU